ACGGUUUACACAGUAUGAGGCACAACUAACAAAUGCCGGGUGUACUUCUAACCCGAACUCCAUUUUGCACCAAACCCCUCGAUGGCCUGCUGUGCAUUAUACGGGCACCGCUAAUACCACUAACUCCUUAAGCAGUUGGAGAAAUCGAUUGGCGUUAUGAGAUAAGUGUGCCCCAACAAAUCAGGAACAGCCACAGACCUGCCUGCAACAAUGUAACAUCUGGCAAAUGGCCUCUAAUCACAACACGGCAGUAUAUAUCAUCAGAAUUCUGGAUUGGUAAAGGUUUGGCACACCACCCUGGCUGUGUCGUCUGUCCGGGCACAUGGAGACUCUUCACACAAACCCCUCAUGGUACCCGCCGCCCAGUAGGCUCGGUCAGAACACCCCCUUAUCGGCCUCAUAGGCUUCACUACGGCCAUAGGUGCAACAACGAGCCCCAAGGCCUUCCACUGGGAGCUCCCGAGGAGACUUCCACUGGGAGCUCCCACGCUCCGGUCACCGCGCCACCUGGCCAUGGAACUUGCCAUCCACAUCGCCCGUCGCCAACUUCUAAAAGGGUCACGCGGUCCGUGUCCCAGCACUGUGCAUCCGAGCACAUCACAAUGCUACGUCGCAGCAGAAGGCCGCUGUUCCGUGAUCUGUCCACCAGGACGUGACAGGCAACAGCGAUUCGUCAGGCAUCACGUGUACCCGAAUUGCCUGCCCAAGUAUGCCCUAGCAGUACAGAUACGCAAUACGAGCCUCACCUGAAGGAUGCAUCUUCUGCUGCGGCUUUCGCUGAUCACGCCAGGUCCAACCCGCCGCCUGCGAUGGCGGGGCGCGAUACCGUUAAUACCCUAAAUGAGGCGACGUGCACGAGCGUCAGCGGGUUGACAUAGCAUAUAUGGCGCCCGGUGAGAUAGACAGGAGUGCGUGUCGCAGGACAAUCCCAGGCCCCUCCGUCGAAAAAAUUCCUCUCACGCGCUUUCAAACACAGCACGGCUCCUAGUUCCAGAACCUUUAGUAGUCUAUGCGAAUUAAAAUACUACAGUGUAAUUUCAGUAAAAAGUAGUAAAAUGCUUCCUUUCGACGCGCUUCUUGAUGCAGGGUGCUUUCCCAAUUGAAACUAACUGUGCGGACUACGGGAACACGGGCUUCACGCCAUCAUAAAAUAUAUGCAUUUAAAAAACGCGAAAGUCUGUUGGUGCGGGCCCUAUGCCAAAUAUAAGGCGAGUGCCGAUGCCGAUGUCUCUGGGCUCGCUUGCGUUACUGCCAGCCGCCUUGUCCCAGUAAGGGAGUCUUAACCCAUUUCCCUUUCCAUGGGCAGCGCAAAUCACGCUCUUCACACAGGAAUGUCUCUGAAUGUCCAACCGCCCAGAUCACUUCAAACACGCCCAGCCUCCAUAAUAUGAACCGCUUUAGCCAAGCAAGAAAAAUAUUCAUAGAAAGACUAGUACACGCUUGAACAGCGACUGCACCAAUGAAUGGUUUUAUAACAUACCGUAAUGACAGGAAAUGUUCGUGUUUCUAAUUUCGUGACGGCAUUAUGAAAUUAUGUCACAUAUAAAUUACAAGCUGUUCCAGGCGAUGGUCGUUACGAAUAUAUGUGUGCUCCGAAGCCAAAUCGUACAAUGCCUUCAACACAGUACUUAC
rnacentral:lncRNA from 1 species